rnacentral:rRNA from 1 species
UACAGAGGGGGCAAGCGUUGUUCGGAAUUACUGGGCGUAAAGGGCGCGUAGGCGGCCUGCUAAGUCGAACGUGAAAUCCCCGGGCUCAACCCGGGAACUGCGUCCGAUACUGGUUGGCUUGAAUCCGGGAGAGGGAUGCGGAAUUCCAGGUGUAGCGGUGAAAUGCGUAGAUAUCUGGAGGAACACCGGUGGCGAAGGCGGCAUCCUGGACCGGCAUUGACGCUAAAGCGCGAAAGCCAGGGGAGCAAACGGG